rnacentral:rRNA from 1 species
UACGUAGGGUGCGAGCGUUAAUCGGAAUUACUGGGCGUAAAGCGUGCGCAGGCGGUUUGUUGUGUCGGGGGUGAAAGCCCCGGGCUUAACCUGGGAAUGGCCAUGGAAACUGGCGAACUGGAGUGUGGCAGAGGGGGGUGGAAUUCCGCGUGUAGCAGUGAAAUGCGUAGAGAUGCGGAGGAACACCGAUGGCGAAGGCAGCCCCCUGGGCUAGCACUGACGCUCAGGCACGAAAGCGUGGGGAGCAAACAGG